CUUGAAUGAUGUUUGUCCAUAAGAAGAAAAGUCUAUGGAAAGAAGACAAGUAUAAGUCCAACAAGUCAUCCUUGACCUGGUCCCAGGGGUUGAGGUAUUCAGAAUCUCUCCUCAGACAAGGGUCCUUGGGACAAUCUUUAUCAUGGGUCAUCAUUAUGAAAUCGGAAAAGGACCUCCUCCUCAGUCCUGCCUUUGUUUUCCAGAGAAUUGUUCUAUUUAGUUCCAGCUUCCCAGAAUCAGGAGGUCUUGUUUGGCCUCUGAUUGGUGAUGAUCUUUAGCUAAACCCUGGAUUCACUUUAGCUAAACACCUUUAGCUAAACAUGGGAUUCACUAAGUUACAAAAACACUGUUCUUACAGAUUGUUCAGUUUUCAUGGGAUAUUCUACAUCUAAAACUGUGCCUUUUAUAGGCUGAAUACCUGCUUCCUUCAUGUUUUCUUAUUAGAAGGCUAAAUUGUAUGCUUAUUUUUCUAACUGGAACCAUUGCAUCAGGGACAAGGUGGAGUAGUAGUAGCCACUUUGGUGGAGCUUUUGACAUGACCAAAAUUGUUCAUGUGAGGAGUGCCUUAGAAUAAAAGCAAAUAAACUCUCAUGAGGAGACUGUUGUGUCUGUCUGAAAGAGACAUCAUUUUGUUUAAUGUGACAGACUUACCCUUUUUUUCUGUACAUUAAAGAUUAAUAAGUGCCGGCUUUUUAAAUGUAUGACUUAAAAUUGUCAAGGGCCCAACUCAUGUCAAAACUGGCUGGAUGAUAUUCUCAUUUGUGUGUGUAUAUGUCAAAUCUCUUUUUCUACAUCUAAACUUUCUUUCCUCUCUUUGCAGAAAUAACAUAAUUGGCCUUUUACAAUGAUAAUUUCAUAUGUAUCUGAAGCUUCCUUCCUGUCAUAAUAAUUUCAUAUUUGUCUGGAGCUGGCUCUCUCAUUUUUUCUUUCCCCUCCCUUAUGAAACUUUAAAGAUUAUCUGAUCAAAAAAUGAUUCACUUGUUUUUGUGCACUCUAAGAAAAUGUAAUCUAGGUAAUCAAUAUUGUCUAAAAAAUGAAAACAAUAAAGCAAAU
rnacentral:lncRNA from 1 species